CCUACGGGAGGCAGCAGUGGGGAAUAUUGGACAAUGGGCGAAAGCCUGAUCCAGCAAUUCCGCGUGUGUGAAGAAGGCCUUCGGGUUGUAAAGCACUUUAGUGGGGGAAGAAACAGCUUGGCCACACCAAGCCUUGACGGUACCCCAAGAAUAAGCACCGGCUAACUCUGUGCCAGCAGCCGCGGUAAUACAGAGGGUGCAAGCGUUAAUCGGAUUUACUGGGCGUAAAGGGUGCGUAGGUGGCUAUUUAAGUCGGAUGUGAAAGCCCGGGGCUCAACCUCGGAAUUGCAUUCGAUACUGAGUGGCUAGAGUUCGGUAGAGGGCGGCGGAAUUUCCGGUGUAGCGGUGAAAUGCGUAGAUAUCGGAAGGAACAUCAAUGGCGAAGGCAGCCGCCUGGGCCUGGACUGACACUGAGGCACGAAAGCGUGGGUAGCAAACAGGAUUAGAUACCCUGGUAGUCCACGCCGUAAACGAUGAGAACUUGACGUUGGUUCGUUUUACGAAUCGGUGUCGCNGCUACGACGAUAAGUUACUCCGUCCGUCGGGGUAGGGUACGGGCCGGCCGACGGUUAGGUAAACGUUAAAACGUUAAGUAAGUUAGUACGGCGUGUAGACGUCGCCGAACGGACGACCGACCGAGGGGAGGUAGG
rnacentral:rRNA from 1 species